GUGCCGGCCGCCGCGGUAAUACGUAGGGUGCAAGCGUUAAUCGGAAUUACUGGGCGUAAAGCGUGCGCAGGCGGUUGUGUAAGUCAGAUGUGAAAUCCCCGGGCUCAACCUGGGAAUUGCAUUUGAGACUGCACGGCUAGAGUGUGUCAGAGGGGGGUAGAAUUCCACGUGUAGCAGUGAAAUGCGUAGAUAUGUGGAGGAAUACCGAUGGCGAAGGCAGCCCCCUGGGAUAACACUGACGCUCAUGCACGAAAGCGUGGGGAGCAAACAGGAUUAGAUACCCCAGUAGUCC
rnacentral:rRNA from 1 species